rnacentral:rRNA from 1 species
UACGGAGGGUGCAAGCGUUGUCCGGAAUCACUGGGCGUAAAGGGCGCGUAGGCGGCUCAUGAAGGCUGUGGUGAAAGUCCGGGGCUCAACCUCGGAUCGGCCGUGGCGACUCGUGGGCUGGAGCACUGUAGAGGCGGGUGGAAUUCCGGGUGUAGCGGUGGAAUGCGUAGAGAUCCGGAAGAACACCAGUGGCGAAGGCGGCCCGCUGGGCAGUGGCUGACGCUGAGGCGCGACGGCGUGGG